CUUAGUCAGUUAAGUGGAUAUAGAAUAAAGAAAAAAAUUGUGUUUGACAUUUGGUUGUGUGUCUGUGUUUGGCUAGUAUCUUUAUUUUUCUCAAUAUGUUUAACUUUGAGCUGGCUAUAUGUAGUAAGCAGAAGUGUUAUGUCAAACUUAAAUGAGUCCAAGUUCAUUCAUGGCACAUGUGAGCUUAGUAGUUGUGCACUUUAAUGGGCAAAUAUUUGUUGUCUUUUACAGUAAAGAAGCUCAAGACUCAAGUUGUCUUUAUAAUGUUGAAUAGACAGGGUUUUUUCAUCUGACUGACAAUUUUUCACUUGAUUAGAGAUCCAGACCAAUAAACAAAUCCUUCAUGUAGCUAAAAUAUCAAAAGGAUGAGUUUCUUUGUCAUUUUGACUUGCCAAAAUGACUGGGGAUAGUGUUAAUUUGUGAUGCAUGCCUGUGAUAAAUAAGUGAGGUUGAGUACAGCUAGCACCUCUACUUUCUAUUCCACAAAAAAAAAAUUGUAUACUUUGGAGGAGGAAAUGAAAAGCUUCUUAGAAGUGCCUUUUUCUCUCUGCAGUCGGCAAGAUAGUGCACACGAGUUAGUUGACACAGACCGCUGACAUGCCUUGAGCAGGCUUCAAGUUGCGUAGGGGAGACCCCAGUGCAUUCCAAGUCCAGUGCCAUGUUCUCUUGGCCAUCAGAGGAAUGGAGCAUGAGACAAGACGUUGAGUUGGUGUUUUCUCACAGAGGAAAGCUGUAGAGUUCUGUCCUCAGUUCUCAGAUCAAACUCCUCCAGACUGAGAGAACUGAACCUGAGUGUCAAUAACCUGCAGGAUUCAGGAGUGAAGCUGCUCUCUGCUGGACUGGAGAAUCCACACUGUACACUGGAGAUACUGAGGUACACACACACAAACACAUACACUCACAUACUCACACACUCACACAUCCAGUUUCCAUCUGUGGUGAUUGUAAUUGUAGUGAUGUACAGUGAAUCCAGAAAGUAUUCACAGCGCUUCACUUUCUCCACAUUUUGUGAUGUUACAGUUUUAUUCCAAAAUGGAUUAAAUUCAUUAUUUUCCUCAAAAUUCUACUAACAAUACCCCAUAAUGACAACGUGAAAGAAGUUUGUUUGAAAUCUUUGCAAAUUUAUUUUAAAAAAAACAACAACAAAAAAAGCACA
ensembl:lncRNA